AUUAACGCGAAGAACCUUACCUACCCUUGACAUGUCCAGAACCCUGCAGAGAUGCGGGGGUGCCCGAAAGGGAAUUGGAACACAGGUGCUGCAUGGCUGUCGUCAGCUCGUGUCGUGAGAUGUUGGGUUAAGUCCCGCAACGAGCGCAACCCUUAUCAUUAGUUGCUACGCAAGGGCACUCUAAUGGGACUGCCGGUGACAAACCGGAGGAAGGUGGGGAUGACGUCAAGUCCUCAUGGCCCUUAUGGGUAGGGCUUCACACGUAAUACAAUGGCGCAUACAGAGGGCUGCAAACCCGCGAGGGGAAGCCAAUCCCAAAAAGUGCGUCGUAGUCCGGAUUGUUCUCUGCAACUCGAGAGCAUGAAGUCGGAAUCGCUAGUAAUCGCGGAUCAGCAUGUCGCGGUGAAUACGUUCCCGGGCCUUUACACACCGAAU
rnacentral:rRNA from 1 species